CACUAUAUAAACACUUGCAUUUCAACACGUCACAAGACCAAGUCCAGUUGAGGAAUUCAUCAAUACAUCAUCAACACAUCAGACCCCAGACUCUAGCCAGAAAUAUUCCAGCAGUUGCCAGAUCAAAUGUCUCCUAAACUUUUUAUUCUCUGCGUCAUGGCAAUGCUGGUCAAAAAAUUCUAUUCCACUGGAAAAUUGCAACAGGUGCCAGCUACAAAGGGUGACGGGGACGUGUAAUGCUGCCGUGACCAGAUACUACUACAAUGUCGAGUCACGGAGCUGUCAAGAGUUUACCUACAGCGGCUGUGAAGGGAAUGAAAAAUAAAUUCGUAACCAAGACGGAAUGCGAGAUUGCCUGCGACAUUGACCCUGCUUGCUUGUUACCCCCCGAAACCAGGCCGGUGUUCAGUACCCAUGGAACCUUUGGAAUUUUUUUAUUAUGACCCCGAGUCCGAAACCUGCAAAAAGUUUUUGUACAGCGGCUGUGGCGGAAAUGACCACAUGUUCAGCUUCCAAGGAUGCUAUGAAAAUUGCAUAAAAAGGAGUACCAGAAGAAGAAGUGUGAGCUGGAUUUAGAAAAUCUUACUUACUGAAAAAAAGUUAAAAUAAAUCAA